rnacentral:rRNA from 1 species
AGUGAACGCUGGCGGUAGGCCUAACACAUGCAAGUCGAACGGCAGCACAGUAAGAGCUUGCUCUUACGGGUGGCGAGUGGCGGACGGGUGAGGAAUACAUCGGAAUCUACUUUUUCGGGGGGGAUAACGUAGGGAAACUUACGCUAAUACCGCAUACGACCUACGGGUGAAAGCAGGGGAUCUUCGGACCUUGCGCGAUUGAAUGAGCCGAUGUCGGAGUAGCUAGUUGGCGGGGUAAAGGCCCACCAAGGCGGGGAUCCGUAGCUGGUCUGAGUGGAUGGUCAGCCACACUGGAACUGAGACACGGUCAAUACUACUAAGGGAGGCAGCAGUGUGGUAUAGUAGGCAGCGGGCGCGAGUAUGGCCCAGCGAGACCGCGUGGGUGACGAAGACCCUGGGGUUGGAAAGACGUUUUGUUGGGAAAGAACCGCAGCAGGCUAAUGCGACGCUGUUCUGACGGCACCCAAAGAAGAAGCACCGGCUAACUUCGUG